rnacentral:sRNA from 1 species
UAGGAACAAAUAAUUCCAUGCCCUGCAGC